rnacentral:rRNA from 1 species
GAUGAACGCUGGCGGCGUGCCUAAUACAUGCAAGUCGAGCGAACAGAUGAGAAGCUUGCUUCUCUGAUGUUAGCGGCGGUCGGGUGAGUAACACGUGGGUAACCUACCUAUAAGACUGGGAUAACUCCGGGAAAACGGGGCUAAUACCGGAUAAUAUUUUGAACCGCAUGGUUCAAUAGUGAACGACGGUUUCGGCUGUCACUUAUAGAUGGACCCGCGCCGUAUUAGCUAGUUGGUAAGGUAAUGGCUUACCAAGGCGACGAUACGUAGCCGACCUGAGAGGGUGAUCGGCCACACUGGAACUGAGACACGGUCCAGACUCCUACGGGAGGCAGCAGUAGGGAAUCUUCCGCAAUGGGCGAAAGCCUGACGGAGCAACGCCGCGUGAGUGAUGAAGGUCUUCGGAUCGUAAAACUCUGUUGUUAGGGAAGAACAAAUUUGUUAGUAACUGAACAAGUCUUGACGGUACCUAACCAGAAAGCCACGGCUAACUACGUGCCAGCAGCCGCGGUAA